GGCGGCGUGGAUAAGACAUGCAAGUCGAGCGAUGAUCCAACGAUAGCAAUAUUGGAGGGGAUUAGCGGCGAACGGGUGAGUAACACGUAGGAAUCUGCCCUGAAGUUCGGAAUAGCCCGGUGAGAGCCGGGAUAAUACCGGAUGUGAUCUUCGGAUUAAAGGCUUCGGCCGCUUUAGGAUGAGCCUGCGCUCCAUCAGCUUGUUGGUAGGGUAAAAGCCUACCAAGGCGAGGACGGAUAGCUGGUCUGAGAGGACGGCCAGCCACAAUGGAACUGAGAUACGGUCCAUACACCUACGGGUGGCAGCAGUCGAGAAUCAUUCACAAUGGGCGAAAGCCUGAUGGUGCGACGCCGCGUGGGGGAUGAAGGCCUUCGGGUCGUAAACCCCUGUCGGUUGCGAGUAAGGCCCGGCUUACGUCGGGAUUGAUAUUAGCAACAAAGGAAGGGGCGGCUAACUCCGUGCCAGCAGCCGCGGUAAUACGGAGGCCCCAAGCGUUGUUCGGAUUUACUGGGCGUAAAGCGUGCGUAGGCGGCGAGGUAAGUUUGGCGUGAAAGCCCCGGGCCCAACCCGGGAAAUGCGCUGAAAACUACUUCACUAGAGGUGUGGAGGGGAGUCUGGAAUUCCUGGUGUAGCAGUGAAAUGCGUAGAUAUCAGGAGGAACAUCAGUGGCGAAGGCGAGACUCUGGAAACAUUCUGACGCUGAGGUACGAAGGCUAGGGUAGCGAAGAGGAUUAGAUACCCUCGUAGUCCUAGCAGUAAACGGUGUGCACUUGCUGUGGGAGGAUUCGACCCCUUCCGUGGCGAAGCUAACGCAUUAAGUGCACCGCCNGGGGAGUACGGCCGC
rnacentral:rRNA from 1 species